GGUCAUCCUGACAAUGGUAGUCAUCUCAAAUAUAAGAACAAAUAGUUAAAAUCACAGUUUCUAGUAAGGUGAAAUUGCUCUCGAGCCUUGAUAUAUAUGAGAAGCGAAAUAGUUAUUGCUACUAGUAAAUAUGUUCACAAUAUAAUAAUGUUACCAUAAAUAGAUACAUGGUUUAAAAGACGAUUAUGAAGUUUGAAAACACUAUUCAUGUAGUCCAUAUCAACAGAAUUUAUGUAGUAAGAACAUUAUCGUAUAGUGUUUUUCAACCUACUAUGUAUUACAUUUGUGCUGACUAUACAAAUUGUCAAUGAACGGGUGCACUGUUGUUGUCACAUAAAGUUAAAAUUUCGUACAUGGGUAACACAUCAGUGAUGGAUUUCAAUAAAAUAUUCUAUAUUGUGACUGUGUACUUUGGUAGGUCUUGCAGUGAAAUCAACAUCUCGUAUACGGUUUAUUAUUCAUUAUCGGUCGCUGUAGAAACAACAUCAAGCGAUUGAUGAAAUGGAAGAUUAUCAUUUGAUUCCCGGAUUCAAUUCGCUCGAAUCCGACGGGAAAUCGCAGGAAAAACUCCACCGGACAGAGCCUUGGAUCAACUGAUGCUAUCAAGCAAUGCUAAGCAAUAUUUCACCAGGUAUAUUAUCAUUUGAUUUGAUGCGAAAAUAAAAUAGAGUUUAAUGAAA